UUGAGUAAUGCCUGAGUCGCAGCAUCAAGGUCUGAGCCAAAUUGAGCAAAGGCGGCCACUUCGCGAUAUUGUGCCAAUUCCAGUUUUGAACUACCGCAUACUUGUUUCAUAGCUUUCAACUGAGCGGCAGACCCGACGCGACUGACAGAUAAGCCGACGUUA
rnacentral:pre_miRNA from 1 species